rnacentral:misc_RNA from 1 species
AAGGAAACGACAGGGUACUCAAAAGUCUGAUCGGUGUUAUAUCUGUGGCAACCGAGGCCACUAUGCGAAGAAUUAUCCCAAGAAUCCAAAUAAGGCAGUAAAACUCAUUCAGCACAUUCAGCAAACUUAUCAUCUAUCUCUGAAAUUCGAUGAUGUUGAAUCCCUAUUCUCAGAACAGGAUGGGCCAGAUGAAGAGACUGUGUUUGCUCUUGGAGCAGACGAUACUAACUUUGACCAAUCCCAAUUUCCAUCCUCAAAAGACUCAGAGUCUGAUUCUGAUUCUGAGGCCCAUUACCCUAUUUACCUAGCCCAAAAU